CCCUUAGAUGUUCUGGGCCGCACGCGUGCUACACUGAGUGGAUCAGCGGGCCAGGUUGCGCGAAAGCGUUUCCUAAUCUUUAAAUCCGCUCGUGAUGGGGAUUGACGGUUGCAAUUUUCUGUCAUGAACGAGGAAUACCUUGUAAGCGCGGGUCAUCAUCCCGCGCUGAAUACGUCCCUGCCCUUUGUACACACCGCCCGUCGCACCUACCGAUUGGAUGGUCCGGUGAAGCCUCGGGAUUGUGGUUCUUGCCGCUUUAUUGUGGCGUGACCGCGAGAACUUGUCUAAACCUUAUCAUCUAGAGGAAGGUGAAGUCGUAACA
rnacentral:rRNA from 1 species